UACGGAGGGAGCUAGCGUUGUUCGGAAAUACUGGGCGUAAAGCGCACGUAGGCGGAUCGAUCAGUCAGGGGUGAAAUCCCAGAGCUCAACUCUGGAACUGCCUUUGAUACUGUCGAUCUAGAGUAUGGAAGAGGUGAGUGGAAUUCCGAGUGUAGAGGUGAAAUUCGUAGAUAUUCGGAGGAACACCAGUGGCGAAGGCGGCUCACUGGUCCAUUACUGACGCUGAGGUGCGAAAGCGUGGGGAGCAAACAGG
rnacentral:rRNA from 1 species